UACGUAGGGGGCUAGCGUUGUCCGGAAUCAUUGGGCGUAAAGCGCGUGUAGGCGGUCCGGUAAGUCCGCUGUGAAAGUCGGGGGCUCAACCCUCGAAAGCCGGUGGAAACUGUCGGGCUAGAGUGCGGAAGAGGCGAGUGGAAUUCCUGGUGUAGCGGUGAAAUGCGCAGAUAUCAGGAGGAACACCCGGUGGCGAAGGCGGGUCUC
rnacentral:rRNA from 1 species